CCCCUUACCUGGCGGAGGACAGACAGUGUUAGGAAAGGGGUUCUCCCUGGACUAGGCUAGUCCACCGCACUUCGGCUGCGCUGACCCCUGCGAUUUCCCCACACGCGGGGCCCUCGUCUGCAGU
rnacentral:snRNA from 1 species